UACAGAGGUCUCAAGCGUUGUUCGGAUUCAUUGGGCGUAAAGGGUGCGUAGGCGGCGCGGUAAGUCGGGUGUGAAAUCUUGGAGCUUAACUCCGAAACUGCAUUCGAUACUGCCGUGCUUGAGGACUGGAGAGGAGACUGGAAUUUACGGUGUAGCGGUGAAAUGCGUAGAUAUCGUAAGGGAAGACCAGUGGCGAAGGCGGGGUCUCUGGGC
rnacentral:rRNA from 1 species